UUGAACGCUGGCGGCAUGCUUUACACAUGCAAGUCGAACGGCAGCGGGGGCUUCGGCCUGCCGGCGAGUGGCGAACGGGUGAGUAAUGCAUCGGAACGUACCCAGUCGUGGGGGAUAACUACGCGAAAGCGUAGCUAAUACCGCAUACGCCCUGAGGGGGAAAGCAGGGGACCCUCGGGCCUUGCGCGAACGGAGCGGCCGAUGGCAGAUUAGGUAGUUGGUGGGAUAAAAGCUUACCAAGCCGACGAUCUGUAGCUGGUCUGAGAGGACGACCAGCCACACUGGGACUGAGACACGGCCCAGACUCCUACGGGAGGCAGCAGUGGGGAAUUUUGGACAAUGGGCGAAAGCCUGAUCCAGCAAUGCCGCGUGCAGGAUGAAGGCCUUCGGGUUGUAAACUGCUUUUGUACGGAACGAAAAGUCUCGGGAUAAUACCCUGGGACCAUGACGGUACCGUAAGAAUAAGCACCGGCUAACUACGU
rnacentral:rRNA from 1 species